UUUGGGACACUUAAGUGACUUUGAAAUCCAUCCAAAGGUUACUCUGUUCCUUCACUCCACACAGCUCAGGCAUUUCCAUGUUGGUCUCAGCUGCCAUCUCAAUGGUUUAUUCUUUUUACAUGUUGGAGCAGAUCUGGACCUCCCAAAAUGUUUUGAGGAGAAGUGGGCUUAGAGGGGUUUUCCCUGCUCUGUGAGAGAAGGAAUUUAGCAAGGAUUAAUUUUUCUAAGAAGGUGGCACAAGUUUUGAUGUGAUUUGCUGGAAAAUAGUAAUAGUCACAAUUUAUCUUAUUCCCCCAAGAGAAUGGGAUGAUGUUCCCAUGGAACCUUGCUCAUCCUGCUAGCAAUAACUUGUAUUCUCUUUCUGAUUCACACAAACAAGGAUCAGAGGGUGAUGGUGGGGGAAAUGAUACCAGGAAAUACAGUUCGUUUUUUGCAGGGAUUCAGAAUGUGUUGCUGGACUUCAAGAUAGGAAGAAUCUUUGCCUUGAUGGCUGAUGACAGUAACCACCCCAUCUACCAUCAUCUAUUAAGGAUUUACUGUGUGGUCACUUUACAGUCAUCCAAGUAAAUUUUCAUAAUCACCUGAUUACAUGGGUACCGCUUUUCAGAAAAAGAAACAGAUUUCUGGAGGGUAAGUAACCCAAAUCGUACAGCUGAGCCAUCUGUCUGCAUCUCAAGCAUUGAGGCAGCAUUCGGCCUCCGAGGGUGUUGUCAAAUGUGCUGGUCUCUGUUAACUCAGGGUUUUGGAUUAAUGGGUGGAGCUGCUCAUUUUCACAAACACCCAGGAUGCAGUCUGCACCCUCUAUUUAAAGUGAGGUCCCUGGACGAGCAACACGGCAGCACCUGGCUGCUUGUCAGCAAUGCAGAACAUCAGGCACUCCCUGGAGCUACAGCACAAGAUCCCCAGGCAGGCGCAUGUGCAUCCAAGUUUGAGCCGCACUGCUUUCUGCCACUACGGAGGAAUGUAUCCUUUACUCUCUUCCUCCCCUUCGUCUCAUCUUGUUUGGUAAUUUUAAAUUAUUUAAAAGUUAUAGAAAAUCAUAGUGCCUCAAAAUGGCUUACCAAGAAAUACUCAAAGCUGUAGGAUCAGAAGCUUGACAUGAAGAUUUCUGUGCAUCUUUGAAUUGCUUUACAGAAAUUAAAGAAAAAUCCAGACAUCUAAAAGAUUAUAAUUUCAGAAUUCAUAGUAACAUGGGGAUCUUCUUGGUGUCAGAACUGAGUUCUUGCUGAGGUUUGCAUUGGGCCCUGUCUCCGGGCAGCUGCAGCAUAACACGGAGUCACCCUUGCUGUCUAAGCCUUGUGGCUGGAGGGGAAGAGUGAGGACCAAGCUGUCAACAAUCCCAGACCUGCCAAGCCCCAUUUGUCUGUGUGCCUGCCAGGAUUCUAAGACUGCAUUUGGGAAUUUUGACUUUUACUGAAUGUGAAAUUCUGUGUAUAUAUAGCCUUGGUGAGCUGACCCAGUCAGGGAUGACUCUGAUGUACUUUUGUCUUACAGGAUUCAGAAUCCAUGGCUGGAAGAGGUAGUAAGGCCAUUGGGAGGGCAUGCCUCUCCUCAGCCCACCCCCACCCUGUGUGGGUCUCCAUUCUGAAAUUUCCAUUCAGAUGACCCGGUCCUAGGCAGGGACCAAAAUUCCUUGUCAGCUGAGGAAGUCCUGAAGAAACAUCCUGAAGAUGAUGACUGCACUGCCAUCGUGGGCAGAUGCAGCUUCCAUCUACCUGAGGGCUGAAGGGGAAAACCUUUCACACACGUGAGGAAGGCGCAGCUCUGUGGAAAGGUCACUAGAAUGGCAGCGGCAGCAAAUAGGGCUCCAAUGCACGUUUGCAGUUAACUGGGUCCAAGGAGAGCAUGGCCCUCCACAGCAAGUUUGCUCUAUAGAAUAAAGUCCUGAGCUUGUUUUUAUCACAGUUAGACAGAGAAUGGUCUCUUGUUUCUCAGUUAUCCAGGGAAGAACAGUGUAUAUUCUCUGUAGAUGAGUGUUGUCUAAUGUAGUGAUUAAUCUCUGCUAGUGUUAGGAAAGCUCCACUACUGUGUGUGUGUGUGCGUGCAUGCGCGUGCGCAUGUGCACAUACUGCAGUCUUGACUUUCCAAUUACAAAAUGCCUAAGUCAGGUCACAUUGUCUUCUUCCAGCCAGUUUCUAAGGCAGGCAAUGGAAACAGGAGCCGAUGCCAAAUGGUCUAGAGGCAGAAGGGCUGCAUGCUUUGCAGGGCCAGCCCCAAGGCUGCCUUCCAGAGCUGCACUUUCUCUGGGGACAGUAAACUCUCACCGCAGCUGCCAGCCCCCUGUGCUUGGCCAUGCCCCUCACAUGGACUUGGAAUCAGUGUCUCUCUUGCUGAUGAGCACCUCCAGGAGCCUCAGUUUCGCCUUUAUGUGCUUAUAUUCACUGUAUUCUUCAGCCAUAGGAGUGCGGUCUUCCUUCUGGACAUUUCUAAUGCAAAUAAAGGAAAAAGGGGUCUGAGGAU
rnacentral:lncRNA from 1 species